GCUGUAAGCAACUUGAGGACAAGGACCAGUCUGGGUCAUCUAUGUACUUCCCCUGACACCAUGGAAAGCGCCUCAUGUAUCAGAGCUGAAAUGAGCUCACUGAUCUUCCUUGAAUGUGCUGGGCUGGGCAAAACAAUGCAUACUACCCUGUGUAUACUCUGGGAAUAAAGCUCUACCCCCAUGGAAUCGCUGCCUACUGGAAGUGCUGUCCCCAAGAGCAGUGGCAGGAUGACAACACUCUCCCAGCCACAUUCCCUCCAUGGCCUGCAACAGGGCCCAAGGUGUGCACUCACUCAGUGACAGUGUCUUGGAACCAGACCCACAGCUCUGCACCUGAUGGGGCCUGCAGGAAGGGUGGCCCCCAGUAUCGGGUCCUCCAAAAGCCUUGUGUGAAUGACAGGUGCAGCUCCCGUAGAGAAUACUUGGAGAUCAGCUGCCCCAGGGCUUUGGGAAAGAGCCUGUAAUGGGACACUGGGGAAACGGGAGCAGGUGAGUGACGAUCCCCACCUCGUCGGGGUCCACACCCAGGAUCCCGAACUCUACCCAGGAAUUAGGCCCCGCCCCCAAAGUUUGCCUUCAUCCCACGGCCGGCCAGCCAGCAGGCACUACGGAAAUCUUUCCCUGGUCAGAUCUCGCGCCCUCACCUCCUUCCCGCUGAAGCUCCGAAUCCCAGCGCGUGCGGAACUGGAAUGUGGCGGCUACGUCCCCGGAAGGCAGCGGGGUGAUGACAAGUUCCUCCCGCAGGCUGUCGCGUGGGGGUUCUGCAAGGCACCAGCCGCCGGGCCCCAGGAGCAACAGGACGAGCAGAGCAAGCGGCAUAGCCGCCGCCAUGCCUGCGGCUACUUCCGCCUACCCAGCGGCGCUCGGCCCCAUGAAAAGCCGGUAUCCAAUAAGAAAGGCGUGUGAGAAGUGACUUCCGCUGUCGUCCCGGAAACCGGGAUGCGGUUAUCAGAGCGACCGCCUGCGCAGGUCGCGAAGAUUCCCUCAGAGCUGGUGGGUCUAAGGGGGUACUGGGAGGACACGAGAGGGAGUAGGCAGGGCGAGUAACCAGCUUGAGGCCGCACCUAGUUCAUGGCGUAUUCCACCCACCAGGAAAUGCUUAAUAAUAUGAAGCUCCUUCACUGCCAUUUUACCCAUUUGAUAGUUGAGGAAACAUUGACUGAAAAAGAUCAAUUACUUUUGGGAAAACCAUUGUGGUUUUAAUUUGCAUUUCCCAAAGUAAGAGGAACCUCCUGCCCCUCUUAGCUUCUAGUGUCUCCAUUUGCUGCAAAACCCCCAAAUAAGUGGUUCUUUUAUUACGAAAAUGUUCAAACAAAAUUGAAAGAAUGAGCACCUGUUACAAUAAACCUAUUUUCCACCACCUAGAUUCUACUAUUUACAUUAUACUAUACUUGUACUUUACCACAUAUUUGUCUAUACAUCCAUCAUUCCAUCUUGUGUUUUGGUGCACUUCAAAGUAAAUUGCAGACAUUAGUACACUUUCCUUUAAGUAGUUAAGCAUGCAUAUAAUUAACUAGAGUUCAGUAUUCGAUUGCAUUUUGAUGUAAAAUUCACAUACAGUGAAAUGCACAAAUCCAAAGUACACAUUCACUGAGUUUUGACAAAUGCACACACCUAUGUAACCCGAACUCCUAUCAUGAUACAGAACAUUCCUAAAACCCCAGAAAAUUAGCAAUACCCUUUCCUAGUCAAUCCCUGCUCCUCUAUCACCUUCCAGAGGCAGUUAGUACCCUGAUUUUUUCCCACAAUAGAUUAAUCUGUUCCAGAACUAAAUAUAAAUGAAAUCAUAUAGUAUGUAUACUGUGUAAGGCUUUUUUUUUUCUCAUGGGAAGAAUGUUUUUGAGAAUCAUCCAUGUUCUUGCAUGUAUCCACAAUUCUUUUUAUUACUGCGUAGUAUUAUUAAUUUAUCCAUUCAACUCUUGAUGGGCACUUUUAAAGUUUUUGGUUAUUAUUAACAAGGCUGCUGUCUGUGCAAGCUCCUUUGUAGACGUAUAUUUCUCAUAUCCUUUGGCCAGGUAUUUAAGAGUGGAAUUGCUGGGUCAGAGAGCAGGUGUAUGUUUAAUUUUAUAAGAAACUGUCAGACCUUUCUCCAAAAUGUAUCAUUUUAUGUUUCCAUAAACUAUGAGUCUCCAUUGUACCACAUCCUGGUCAGCAUUUGAAGUUUCUAAUUUUUUGUACUUUUUAGUUUUGACCACUUGGGUAUGUAUGUAGUGUUUGCUCAUUGUGGUUUUAAUUUGCAUUUCCCUGGUAACUAAAAAUGUUAAGCAUCUGUUCAUGUGCUUAUUUGCCAUUUAUUUUUUAAUUUAAUUUUUAUUUUUUUGUGAAAGGUCUGUUAAAGUCUUCUGCACCCUCACCCCUUUGUUUACUGGCUUGUCUUUUUAUUGACUUUUUCGGAGUUCCAAAGUUAAAGUCAUGCUUUAGUUUUUCCACCUGCCCUAUGGGAAACACAUUCAUGAAGGAUUUCAUGAACAGUCUCUUGGUGACACUCAUGACCACACUUCUAGAAAGAGCCAAUUUGGUGUCAGGCAGGUCUGCCAAGAUAUGCGCCAACCAACCAGACAUUUCCAGAAAGGAAAUGUCAGAAAGAUGUCUUUAUCUCAUUAUGCCUUCAUUCUGCCUGCAUUCAGUGUUCCUGCCCCAUUAGACACGAAAUAUUAGGAAGGCCAUGGGCUUAGAUGUCAGAAAGACAGGAGUCCAAAUCCCUAUGCCAGCCUUUAAUCCAUAUGAGCAUGAUCAACCCAAGUGUCACUUUUCUUCAUUUGUAUAAUGAAGAAACCUACUUUCAAGGUUGUUGUUAAGAUGAGAAAUUAUGUACAUGUAGGAUAUGGAAUGUAGCAAGUGCUUAAUAGUAACACUCAACCCUGUCACCUAGGCACUAAUAUGUAAAUGUAGAUAAUAGUGCCUAAGUGAUAGGGUUGCUUGAGUGUUAUUAUUAAGAAGUACAUAAACUAAGAUAAUAAAGAUUACAAUGAGUGAUGGAGCUAGGACUAUAGUCUACACUAUCAAACCUCAAAAUAAUACUUUUUUAAAGGUAGCUGCCAUCAUUAUGACUAUUUUGUACUUCUCUGUUUUCCUUUUGAAAUUGCCCAUCUCCAUCAUUCAGGACCCAGCCACCUCUAGUGAAGACUUACCUUCUCCUCCUCUAGUGGUCUACAGGCUUCAUGUACUUCUGCUACAUCUCUCAUCACAUUGUUUCCAUUACCUGUGUCUGUGUCUGCUCCUGGAAGAGCUCAUGGUCACCUUAGUAUUUCUGUUGCCUAAGCAAGGUGACUGUCACAUAGUAGGUGCUCAGUAAUGUGUGAAUGAAUGAACAAACAAGAUGACAUCAUAGCACAGUUCUGUAUUUUCCCUACUCUGCCAUGCUGUUCAGUGUCAAGUUCUGUGCACUCCUGGGGUUGCUACAGUGUAAGCCUUCUAAGGAAACUUUUUCUGAGCUGUGGUGCCUCCUUUCCGAAGUGUGUCAGGAUGUCCACCCUAUGACAAGUCCGUGCAAAUAUCAGAAGCCACGCUGUAGCUUGGAGACUGAAAGCUGGGCUCCUUGACUUAGAGUUGGCUCCAGAUCUUCCUCCCACCUCCAAAGGCACUGUGUGGCCUCAAAAACCAGACAGCUAGGCUCUGGGCUGCCAUAAACCACGGUUUAACUUUAAUGCAACACUAUAAUCAAAUGGUGAAUCUGAAGAUUAUCAUUUUUUUAAAAAGUGACCAUAUUGAAUAUGGUGUUUUAUAGUCUACUCUUUCUUUCAAGAGUUAUCAUAAAUGUCUUUCCACUAAAAAUAUGUGGUGGGUAGAUGAUACAAUCUUGGUACUAUUUUGAUGAUUUUUUAAGCUGUAUGAUGAGAACCUGGGAUAUUUUUCUUUCUAUAUUUGUUGUACGUUUGAAACCCCCAUAAGUUUUUUUAAAAAAACAAAGAAACAAAAAACAGUCAGCUGGAGAUGAUGGUUCUGAAGGCCAGCCAAGCCCCUGUGGUUCGGCAGGAGAAAAGGUUAUUGUCCCAACUAGGAAGUAGUCCUGGGGUCUCAGCUGACACUAGACUUUUCCAGGCAGGGCUGGGGCUCAUAGCAGCCAAACUGAAGGCUCCCCAUAGGCUCAGAAACAAUUCUACUUCUCUAGAGGGCUGUAAAUCCCUCUCUCAAGGCAGGCUCCCCACAAUCUUCGCAUCAUGUGCCUGGGCUACUAAGAGAUUUAUUGACAUGUUGACGGCAACCAAGCCAGUCUAGCUUCUCAUCGUUCACCAUGGAAGGAAGGGGGGUGAUCCUGGGAGCUGAGAAGCCCUGCACAGCAAAGCUAUUGGGAUCAUGGGCCGCAGCCCAAGAGAUGGCUCAGCCACAGUCAGACAGGAGGUAGAUAGAACCUUGCUACUCUAAAGGAAGGAAGGAGAGAAGCCACAAGAGGACAGAGAUUAUGUCUUCUAUGUGCAGCAAGGUCAUAAGCAACCCAGAAAAACCCCAAAAGUUAAUAGAGGACUGGGCCCUGGCCCAGCUCAGUGGAUGAUCUCAACUUGGACCUAGAGGCUUUUGCACAGAAGGUAUUCACUCCACAAGCUUCCUAGAGACAGGGAAUGGCUGGUGGACACUCCUACUUCCCUGGAGUUCCCACAGGUUUCUCACUAGUGUUAGGAAAAACACUUAGGAACAGAUACUUACACUGGCCUCCUGCAGGGGUGAGAGCAGGAUGGGACAAUAGGAAGACUGCAGCCUUGUCACUCAACCUUGGGUGGCACAAAAAGCUUUAGGAUUUUGGCUGAAGGUCACUGAUCCCAUGGGUGAUGUUCAAUGUAUGAAGGGAGGUGGACUGAUUUUUUUUUUUUUUUUUUGAAUGUGAGAAAUGAGUUGAUGUUCCUUAAGACUGGGUCCUAUAACCUCUUCUUUCAUUCAGCAUUCUCUCCCUGGGCAUUCUCUCCUGUCAUUCGCACCCAUGGCUUCACUUACCACCUAUACACUGAGAACUGAUCGUUUUCUUUUUCCAGCUCAAUCCUCUUAUCUAAAUUCCACAUGCAUGGGUGCAAGGGCCUACUCAACAUAUCCUCUUGGAUGUCUCAAAGACAUCUCAAACUCAACAUGUCCCAAACCAAAUUUAUGGCCUUCUUCUCAAACCUGGUCCUUUCUGAAACUCCCCAUCUGGGUGACUAGCCCUCUGUUCCAAAAAGGAUGUAAGGAGCCAGAAUGGCUGGAGUACCCCCUCACUUGACAUGCCAAGGAGUUCACGUCUAUCUGGAGACACUGAUUUGAGAGACUCUGCUGGAAGACUAUAGGAUGGUUGGCCAGGUGCAGUGGCUCACGCCUGUAAUUCCAGCACUUCGGGAGGCCAAGGUGGGUGGAUCACCUGAGGUCAGGAGUUCGAGACUAGCUUGACCAAUAUGGUGAAAUCCCGUCUCUACUAAAAAUACAAAAAUUAGCCUGGCAUGGUGGUGUGCGCCUGUAGUCCCAGCUACUCGGGAGGCUGAGAUGUGAGAAUUGCUUGAACCUGGGAGGCGGAGGUUGCAGUGUGCCGAGAUCGUGCCAUUGCACUCCAGCCUGGGCGAAAGAGUGUGACUUCAUCUUGGGGGAAAAAAAAAGAACUUCCAAAAAUUUCUUCCUAAAUGGGAAUAGACUGGCUGUGCCCUCUUUGCCCAUCCCCCAUUUCCUCUCCUGCUUUCUGCCAGUCUCAAGGUCAUGAUGGCUGGGGCUUUGACAGCCACCUUAGAUGUGAGAUAUUGCUAAGAAUGCAAACCAUGUGCAAAAGAGCAAAAAAGGAGCCCAGUGCUGAGUAACGAUGGAGCUUUCAUGUAGACCUGUACUUUUUAACUUCUAUAUGAGGAAAUAACUUUAUAUCUUAAGUCAUGAUCUUUUACUAGCUGUCAAACUGAAACCUGAUCCAGGCUUCAACGGAUUUUACAACCUGACCUUUGUCAGUCUUAACUCUCCCUUCAUUUCCUCAAAUCCAACAAUUCAGCCAAACGCAAUGUUUUUUAGCUCCUCAAGGAUAUGCUCUCUCCGUUUAAAGUCUUCACGAGCUGCUCGUUCUGCCUGGCUUACGGACUGUGCCUGGCUAACUCCCAAUCGUCCUUCAGCUAAAAACAGCUCUUCAGUGACCAUAGAAACUAGGUUAACAUGCCCCUAUUUUCUGGUACCAGAGUAGUUCCUCAUCAUGCUAUUUAUUACACUGUGAAUUGUAGUAUUUACUUGAUUUUCUCCUCCAUAAACAGUAAACUCUAUGAAGGCAGGUAUACAGUACAGCCUGUCUUGCUCAAAACUGUAUUCCAGAUGCCUAGCAUGGGUGUUCCAUAAACAUUUCUUGAAUAAAUGGAAUGAGUGAGUGAUAGGAAUAUGGGAUCGGUUAGAGAGCUAAAGACAUGUAGUGGGUUUGAUAUCUUUGCAAUAUGAAAAAUGAAGUCGAAUGGUUGGCAUAUUAUUAUUAGUUUAUUAUUUAUACC